GGUUUAAUUACCCAAGUUUAAG
rnacentral:misc_RNA from 2 species